rnacentral:rRNA from 1 species
UACGUAGGGGCUAGCGUUAUCCGGAAUUACUGGGCGUAAAGGGUGCGUAGGUGGUUUCUUAAGUCAGAGGUGAAAGGCUACGGCUCAACCGUAGUAAGCCUUUGAAACUGGGAAACUUGAGUGCAGGAUAGGAGAGUGGAAUUCCUAGUGUAGCGGUGAAAUGCGUAGAUAUCAGGAGGAACACCGGCGGCGAAGGCGGCUUGCUGGACGGCAACUGACGUUGAGGCUCGAAAGCGUGGGGAGCAAACAGGAUUAGAUACCCUGGUAGUCCCUGAGCGGG